rnacentral:rRNA from 1 species
UACGUAGGGUGCAAGCGUUGUCCGGAAUUAUUGGGCGUAAAGAGCUCGUAGGCGGUCUGUUGCGUCGGCUGUGAAAACCCGAGGCUCAACCUCGGGCCUGCAGCCGAUACGGGCAGACUAGAGUUCGGCAGGGGAGACUGGAAUUCCUGGUGUAGCGGUGAAAUGCGCAGAUAUCAGGAGGAACACCGGUGGCGAAGGCGGGUCUCUGGGCAGUAAACUGAC